UACGGAGGGGGCUAGCGUUGUUCGGAAUUACUGGGCGUAAAGCGCACGUAGGCGGUGGUGCAUGUCAGAUGUGAAAGCCCUGGGCUUAACCUAGGAAUUGCAUUUGAAACUGCGCCGCUAGAGACCGGAAGAGGGUAGUGGAAUUCCCAGUGUAGAGGUGAAAUUCGUAGAUAUUGGGAAGAACACCAGUGGCGAAGGCGGCUAACUGGUCCGGUACUGACGCUGAGGUGCGAAAGCGUGGGGAGCAAACAGG
rnacentral:rRNA from 1 species